AGAGGUGGAUAUUGUUUAAAUAUACAUUAGGUUAAACCACAAGCCUAGAUAAGCUUCUGAUUGUCCAACGUCAGAGAAGUCAGAAUAAAGUUGAAGCUAAAAACCUGUUCUGCUAAAUUCCAGGUCAUACUCACCAGGACACUUUUUCUCAGGAGCCCAGUGAAAAGGGGAGAUGCUAUAAAAUAUGUACCUAACAAAGCUUGUCAGCAGCUUGAAUGGAGCAAACCAGUCCAGAUCUGAGAAUUCUAGGAAAUAAAUGAAGUUGAACAUUUACUGCCAACAACCAUGUCACUGGGGCCACAGACAACUGGAGCCGCACAGCUGGGGAGGGGAGGAGUCUGUAGCCAGAGAAGGCAGUGGAACGCACCCAGGUUGGAUUAUUUAUGGUGUGCUGAUGAAGAGGCAACUUUCCAUAUGAGGAACAGCUUAACAGAGGAAUAGUCAAGUUAAACUAGGAAGAGGUCCAGUGAGAGAGAGAGAGAGCAACAAAAGCGGACGUGAAUAAAAAUGACAGCCACUGGACCCUAGGGCUCUGUGCUGAACCUCUGUUCACAGGCACAGUUCCUGCCCUCAUGAGGCUCAUUAUCUAGUGUGAGAGAUGGACAAGUCCACCCUCAGCUUCUGGACAGCAAGUGCCUUGACAUAGGAUUGUCACCCCCAUUUCACAGAGGAGAGAAUGGAGCCUAAGAGGGGACACUCUCUCGAGGCCACACACAGUAACUUCCUUGAGCACAAAAUAUUAUGACCAUACCUGGGCUGAGUUU
rnacentral:lncRNA from 10 species